ensembl:scaRNA small Cajal body-specific RNA 20
GACCUUUUUCCAUGGGGCUGUGGGGAAUCCUGUUCCUCUUCAGCCAAGGCUGGAGGCCAAGAUCAAUCUAUGAGGAGAAUCUUCAUCAGGAUUCUCAUGAUCAGGAAGCCUUGUUUUCUGCCCUCAGACAUAG